rnacentral:lncRNA from 1 species
AGUAAGUAGAAAUCAAUAAGGUUACACAAAAGAGAAGUCUGGAAUGAAAUACCUCUGACUUUCAACACUCUUUAUUUAUAGGUGGAGUUUACAUCUAUUAUGGCUCAACUUCAUCUUCAUCCAUCUUUGCUUCAAUCAAUGAAACUUUAGAUUUCACUUAACUUAGCUACAACUUAAAAUCCUAGCUACCACCUAAAUUCUAGCCGCUACCUUAGUUACUUCUUUUUACCUUUUUAUUGCCCUUUGACCAUUAGCAACUUAUUUAAGAUAAUACUAACAUACUUUAUCAUAUCUAUAGUAAUACUUAUUUACUUCAAUACUCUCAUUUUGCUAUUGGUUGAAGGCUAUUAAUC